rnacentral:rRNA from 1 species
GACGAACGCUGGCGGCGUGCUUAACACAUGCAAGUCGAACGAAGAGCGAUGGAAGCUUGCUUCUAUCAAUCUUAGUGGCGCACGGGUGAGUAACGCGUAAUCAACCUGCCCUUCAGAGAGGGACAACAGUUGGAAACGACUGCUAAUACCGCAUACGAUCUAAUCUCGGCAUCGAGGAUAGAUGAAAGGUGGCCUCUACAUGUAAGCUAUCACUGAAGGAGGGGAUUGCGUCUGAUUAGCUAGUUGGAGGGGUAACGGCCCACCAAGGCGAUGAUCAGUAGCCGGUCUGAGAGGAUGAACGGCCACAUUGGGGCUGAGACACGGCCCAGACUCCUACGGGAGGCAGCAGUGGGGAAUCUUCCGCAAUGGACGAAAGUCUGACGGAGCAACGCCGCGUGAGUGAUGACGGCCUUCGGGUUGUAAAGCUCGGUUAAUCGGGACGAAAGGCCUUCUUGCGAAUAGUGAGAAGGAUUGACGGUACCGGAAUAGAAAGCCACGGCUAACUACGUG